rnacentral:rRNA from 1 species
CAGCAGCCGCGGUAAUACCGAGGGUGCGAGCGUUAAUCGGAUUUACUGGGCGUAAAGCGUGCGUAGGCGGCUUCUUAAGUCGGAUGUGAAAUCCCUGAGCUUAACUUAGGAAUUGCAUUCGAUACUGGGAAGCUAGAGUAUGGGAGAGGAUGGUAGAAUUCCAGGUGUAGCGGUGAAAUGCGUAGAGAUCUGGAGGAAUACCGAUGGCGAAGGCAGCCAUCUGGCCUAAUACUGACGCUGAGGUACGAAAGCAUGGGGAGCAAACAGGAUUAGAUACCCCGGUAGUCCCUGUCUCUUAUAC